rnacentral:rRNA from 1 species
CCUACGGGUGGCAGCAGUGGGGGAUAUUGCACAAUGGGGGGAACCCUGAUGCAGCGACGCCGCGUGGGUGAAGAAGCGCCUCGGCGCGUAAAGCCCUGUCAGCAGGGAAGAAAAUGACGGUACCUGAAGAAGAAGCCCCGGCUAACUACGUGCCAGCAGCCGCGGUAAUACGUAGGGGGCAAGCGUUAUCCGGAUUUACUGGGGGUAAGGGGGGCGCAGACGGCGAUGCAAGCCAGGAGUGAAAGUCCGGGGCCCAACCCCGGCACUGCUCUUGGAACUGCGUGGCUGGAGUGCAGGAGGGGCAGGCGGAAUUCCUGGUGUAGCGGUGAAAUGCGUAGAUAUGAGGAGGAACACCGGUGGCGAAGGCGGCCUGCUGGACCGCAACUGACGUUGAGGCCCGAAAGCGUGGGGAGCGAACAGGAUUAGAUACCCGGGUAGUC